rnacentral:pre_miRNA from 8 species
GCUGUCUCCAUGGCGACCGUGGCUUUAGAUUGUUACUCUAGAGACAGCACCAUGGUAACAGUCUACAGCCAUGGUCGUUAGGGGGCAU